GACGAACGCUGGCGGCGUGCCUAACACAUGCAAGUUGAGCGACGAACCAGGGCUUGCCCUGGGGCAAAGCAGCGAACGGGUGAGUAACACGUGGGUAACCUACCCCGAUAACCGGGACAACCCGAGGAGACUCGGGCUAAUACCGGAUGUGCUCACUGGACUUCGGUUCAGUGCGUAAAGGAAGCUUCGGCCUCCGUAUCGGGAGGGGCCCGCGGCCCAUUAGUUUGUUGGUGAGGUAACGGCUCACCAAGACCGCGAUGGGUAGCUGGUCUGAGAGGACGAUCAGCCACACUGGGACUGAGACACGGCCCAGACUCCUACGGGAGGCAGCAGUGGGGAAUCUUGCGCAAUGCGCGAAAGCGUGACGCAGCAACGCCGCGUGGGGGAAGAAGGCCUUCGGGUUGUAAACCCCUUUCAGGAGGGACGAAGGUUCGGCGGUGAAUAGCCGUCCGGACUGACGGUACCUCCACAAGAAGCCCCGGCUAACUACGUG
rnacentral:rRNA from 1 species